rnacentral:misc_RNA from 1 species
GAUGAAGAACGCAGUGAAAUGCGAUAAGUAAUGUGAAUUGCAGAAUUCAGUGAAUCAUCGAAUCUUUGAACGCAUCUUGCGCUCCUUGGUAUUCUGAGGAGCAUGCCUGUUUGAGUGUCAUUAAAUUCUCAACUACACUGACUUUGAAUUGGUGUGGCUUGGAUUUGGGGGGAAAAUUGUUGUGGGCUUUUUGUAUAGUCUGCUCCCCUGAAAUUGAUUAGCGGUACCUUUGUGGAACUGUCUACAGGUGUGAUAAUUAUCUACAUCUUAGACAUCUGCUGGAAUGCUGCUUUCUAAACCUUACUUGUAUUGACAAUCUUGACCUCAAAUCAGGUAGGACUACCCGCUAAACUUAAGCAUAUCAAUAAGCGGAGGA